UACAGAGGGGGCAAGCGUUGUUCGGAAUUACUGGGCGUAAAGGGCGCGUAGGUGGCCUUCUAAGUUGAACGUGAAAUCCCUGGGCUCAACCCAGGAACUGCGUCCAAGACUGGGAGGCUUGAAUCCGGGAGAGGGAUGCGGAAUUCCAGGUGUAGCGGUGAAAUGCGUAGAUAUCUGGAGGAACACCGGUGGCGAAAGCGGCUCACUGGACCGUCUCUGACGCUGAGGUGCGAAAGCCAGGGUAGCGAACGGG
rnacentral:rRNA from 1 species